rnacentral:rRNA from 1 species
AUGUCAAUUGGGGAAAGAUAUGCCCAUCAUCAGUGCACUUUUUGCCAUUUUUUUGCUAUUUUUUUUCUGUUCUAUGUAUACAUGCAGUUUCGACAAUUAGCUGCAACAACUAUUUUUUCUUUUAUUUUGUUGCUAGGGCUUGUGGCCAUACAUGUUAAACAGCAAGACGAUUUAAUUUGUGGUCUAACAAUACGUUUGUUAAUAAUUGCAACAAAAAUAGAUCUACUUUUUGCUAAUAGUGGCCAAAUAAAGGAGGAUCCAGACUAUGACAAGUUUACAUUGUACAGAAUUAGUGCUAACAAUAAAUUUCUCUCUUUUCUUCUUAUUUUAUAUUGA